AAUUGGAGGGCAAGUCUGGUGCCAGCAGCCGCGGUAAUUCCAGCUCCAAUAGCGUAUAUUAAAGUUGUUGCAGUUAAAAAGCUCGUAGUUGAAUUUCGGGAUCAAUAUUUCGGUCAUGCCGUUGGUAUGCACUGUUAUCAUUGAUUUCUCACCUUCUAAAGAACCGUAAUGCCAUUAAUUUGGUGUUACGGGGAAUUAGGACUGUUACCUUGAAAAAAUUAGAGUGUUUAAAGCAGGCUCACGCUUGAAUACAUUAGCAUGGAAUAAUGAAAUAGGACAUCCGAUUCUAUUUUGUUGGUUUCUAGGAUCGAUGUAAUGAUUAAUAGGGAUAGUUGGGGGCAUUAGUAUUCAAUUGUCAGAGGUGAAAUUCUUGGAUUUAUUGAAGACUAACUACUGCGAAAGCAUUUGCCAAGGAUGUUUUCAUUAAUCAAGAACGAAAGUUAGGGGAUCGAAGACGAUCAGAUACCGUCGUAGUCUCAACCAUAAACUAUGCCGACUAGGGAUCGGAUGAUGUUAAUUUUUUAAUGACUCAUUCGGCGCCUUACGGGAAACCAAAGUGU
rnacentral:rRNA from 1 species